rnacentral:rRNA from 1 species
UACGAAGGGUGCAAGCGUUACUCGGAAUUACUGGGCGUAAAGCGUGCGUAGGUGGUUUGUUAGUCUGUUGUGAAAGCCCCGGGCUCAACCUGGGAAUGGCAAUGGAUACUGGCAAGCUAGAGUGCGGUAGAGGGUAGUGGAAUUCCCGGUGUAGCGGUGAAAUGCGUAGAGAUCAUGAGGAAUACCAAAGGCGAAGGCAGUGUCCUGGGGAGUGUCUGACGCUCAGGCGCGAAAGCUAGGGGAGCGAACAGG